UUUCAGUAGUUUACUACAGAAAAUGACUGAGCGGCGAACGGGUGAGUAACGCGUGAGCAACCUACCUUGGUUACUGGGAUAGCCCGAGGAAACUCGGAUUAAUACCGGAUAUCCUUAUUUAAUCACAUGAUUUUUUAAGGAAAGGUCAGCCGAACUAAGAUGGGCUCGCGUUCUAUCAGCUAGUUGGUAGGGUAAUGGCCUACCAAGGCUACGACGGAUAGCUGGUCUGAGAGGACGAUCAGCCACACUGGGACUGAGACACGGCCCAGACUCCUACGGGAGGCUGCAGCAGGGAAUAUUGCGCAAUGAGCGAAAGCUUGACGCAGCGACACCGCGUGUGGGAUGACGGAUCUAGGUUUGUAAACCACUUUCAGGAGGGAAGAAAAUGACGGUACCUCCACAAGAAGCCCCGGCCAACUACGUGCCAGCAGCCGCGGUAAUACGUAGGGGGCGAGCGUUGUCCGGAUUUAUUGGGCGUAAAGAGCUCGUAGGCGGUUCAACAAGUCGGUCGUGAAAGUUCAGGGCUCAACCCUGAAAUGUCGAUCGAUACUGUUGUGACUAGGAUACGGUAGAGGUGAGUGGAAUUCCGAGUGUAGCGGUGAAAUGCGUAGAUAUUCGGAGGAACACCAAUUGCGAAGGCAGCUCACUGGGCCGCUAUCGACGCUGAGGAGCGAAAGCUAGGGGAGCAAACAGGAUUAGAUACCCUGGUAGUCCUAGCUGUAAACGAUGGAUACUGGACGUAGGAAUUGGAUUAACGAUUUCUGUGUCGUAGCUAACGCGUUAAGUAUCCCGCCUGGGGAGUACGGUCGCAAGACUAAAACUCAAAGGAAUUGACGGGACCCUGCACAAGCGGCGGAGCAUGCGGCUUAAUUCGAUGAUACCCGUAGAACCUUACCUGGACUUGACAUAUAGGGAAAAGUUAUAGAAAUAUAAUGUGCAUUAGCGCCCUAUACAGGUGGGGCAUGGCUGUCGUCAGCUCG
rnacentral:rRNA from 1 species